rnacentral:rRNA from 1 species
ACGAACGCUGGCGGCGUGCUUAACACAUGCAAGUCGAACGAUGAACCCGGAGCUUGCUCUGGGGGAUUAGUGGCGAACGGGUGAGUAACACGUGAGUAACCUGCCCUGGACUCUGGGAUAAGCGUUGGAAACGACGUCUAAUACCGGAUAGGACCUUGGAUCGCAUGAUCUGGGGUGGAAAGUUUUUUCGGUCUGGGAUGGACUCGCGGCCUAUCAGCUUGUUGGUGAGGUAAUGGCUCACCAAGGCGUCGACGGGUAGCCGGCCUGAGAGGGUGACCGGCCACACUGGGACUGAGACACGGCCCAGACUCCUACGGGAGGCAGCAGUGGGGAAUAUUGCACAAUGGGCGAAAGCCUGAUGCAGCAACGCCGCGUGCGGGAUGACGGCCUUCGGGUUGUAAACCGCUUUUAGUAGGGAAGAAGGGCUUCGGCUUGACGGUACCUGCAGAAAAAGGACCGGCUAACUACGU